UAUAGUUUGAAAACAAUAUUAGAAUUAUUUAAUUUAAAUUCAGAAUAGUGUGAUAAAUUGUUAUCAAUAGUAAAUAUUAUGUAUAUAUGUAAUUAUGUUUUGUGUAUUAUUUAGUAAUUCCAUAUUCACAUUUUAUGAUAAAAAAAAAUUUAGCAAGUAAUGUUUAUUAUUUUUAAUUGGUGAAUGUUGGUUAAUGUAUUUUUUGGGGAUGUCACUAUAAUCAUUUGAUUUUUAUUUACAAAAGUGAUCUCAUCUCAAAAAUUAAAUUUCAUGAUUUAUUUUAUCAGAUGAUUAAAUCUGCAAUGUCAACUACAGAUUUGAAAGCAGUGUUAUUGAAUAUGUAAAUAAUUUUAUUGUAACUUGAUAUAUGUCUAAAUUAAAAUAUUAUCCAGUUAGAAAUUAAAAUGUUAGUCUCAGUUUUUAUAUCCUAUAUAAUAUAAGAUAACACACACAAAGAUAUCCCCUAUCUCUCGUCCAUAAGAGAUGCGGGAAGUGCUGUUCUCUCAGCAACACUUCAUACUUCAGGCAAUUCAAUGCAACAGAUUUGAGUGUAUUCUCUUAAAUUAUAUGCAAUUUCUACUUGGAUAUUUGCUUCCAGCUAAAAGUGAGAGUUAUUGAUAUGGAAUAUUUUCAAAUGUGCAGCAUUUACUUCCUACAAUUUAGUAAAAAAAAGAUUUUUUUCAAGCUACCAUUAUUUCUAUUCAAUGCUGAAGUGCCUUGUUCUGCUUCUGUGCCUAUGGAAGACUUUGGGAACAGCAUAAUUUUUUUUAUGUUUACAGUAAAACCUCUCUUAAUUUUAUCUUAUCCACUCUCAGGUACCAUAAUAAAUCUUAUUGCUACAGUUUUUAAACUCAUGCUCUCAAAUCUGUAGAAAACUCUAAAAAAUUGUUCAUAGUUAUUAUAUUGUAAGCUUUUUCUAAGUUUUUAAAAACAUAUUUUUAUAUCUGAUGCAAAAUAAAUUGUCAAGAAAUUUAUAUAUUGCUUGAUGUUAAAUUUGUUUUGUUAGAUUAUAUGCUAAACUAAGCAAUUUCUAUGCUUAAUAUAUUAACUCAGGAUUACAUGAUGGUGUUUACUCUCAUUAGUAAAAUAUAUAUUAAGAAUUUAGAAACAUGCUUAACAUAAAAAAUUGCAAUAGAUGAAUAAAUAUAUGUAUAUGUAUAAUAAGGACAAUAGUGAUUAAAAUAAUAUUAAAACUUAUUUUUGCAUUGUAUAUUAUGUACC
rnacentral:lncRNA from 1 species